AGUUAGUGUUUGCAUAAGCUCUUAUUCCUGACUGUGUUUCCCGAGUUCUCUAAGUUCCGAGUGCGUUCCCUGCCGUUCGCACAAGGGCUACGAUUGAGACAGGUGGAUAUGAUGACAGAUGACAUUGCCGGAAGCACAGCAACUUUGUCAAAGAUGUCCAAACUGUUGAGAGAUGUCUGUGUUGAGGCGAUAGAGAGAAUGAGAAGAAAAAUGGACAGAGAUUGGGUGGGCAGAGAGAAUUUGUGGUCAUCGAUGAAAGCCACUUCAGACACAAAAGAAAGUAUGGACGAGGGCGAAUAGCAGGUGCCUGGAACAGAAAGAACUGGGUGUUCGGGAUGCUUGGAGUCAAACGCAAAGGACAGAAGACACGGCCUGUUCUCCGUUUGGUGCAAAGACGGACCAGAGAUGAGCUGAUGCCACUGAUUGUCCACCAUGUCAGAACAGGGUCAUGUGUAUUAAGUGAUGAAUGGCGGGCCUAUCGCCAGAUACUCACUGCAUUUGGCUACAGGCAUUACACAGUGAACCACAGUCUAGAGUACGUCAAUGCAAACACGGGUUGCCACACCCAACAUAUUGAACGGGCCUGGAGGACUUAUAAAGAGACCAUCACAAGACUCCGGGGGAAUCGUACUGAAGAACUGCUCAGGGAUCACCUCUCGUUAAUUGAGUGGCAUGAAUGGCUGGAAAAGAAACAUCACAAUGGCCCCCCUGGUCGCUUACUCCAUGAUAUUGGAAAGACUUACAAAUAGAAAUGUUUCUUUUCAAGAAAUGAUGGGAUGUUAAAGCCAGGUAAAGCUGAAGGCAAACUAAUCGCUAUUGUUCUCUGUCUCUCACUCUCACACACACACGCGCACAUUUAUUAAAGGAGGGUUGUUAUUUGUGUCAAGACCUCAAUAUUUUUUACUUGUUUUUUAUUAUUUUU